rnacentral:rRNA from 1 species
UGGGGAAUAUUGCACAAUGGGCGAAGCCUGAUGCAGCAACGCCGCGUGAGUGAUGAAGGCCUUCGGGUUGUAAAGCUCUGUCUUUUGGGACGAUAAUGACGGUACCAAAGGAGGAAGCCACGGCUAACUACGUGCCAGCAGCCGCGGUAAUACGUAGGUGGCAAGCGUUGUCCGGAUUUACUGGGCGUAAAGGAUGCGUAGGCGGAUUUUUAAGUGAGAUGUGAAAUACCCGGGCUUAACUUGGGUGCUGCAUUUCAAACUGGGAAUCUAGAGUGCGGGAGAGGAGAAUGGAAUUCCUAGUGUAGCGGUGAAAUGCGUAGAGAUUAGGAAGAACACCAGUGGCGAAGGCGAUUCUCUGGACCGUAACUGACGCUGAGGCAUGAAAGCGUGGGUAGCAAACAGGAUUAGAUACCCUGGUAGUCCACGCCGUAAACGAUGAGUACUAGGUGUAGGAGGUAUCGACCCCUUCUGUGCCGCAGUUAACACAAUAAGUACUCCGCCUGGGAAGUACGAUCGCAAGAUU